rnacentral:rRNA from 1 species
GAGAGCUUGCUCUCUGGAUCAGUGGCGAACGGGUGAGUAACACGUGAGCAAUCUGCCCUUGACUCUGGGAUAAGCGUUGGAAACGACGUCUAAUACCGGAUACGAGCUGUGAAGGCAUCUUCAACAGCUGGAAAGAACUUCGGUCAAGGAUGAGCUCGCGGCCUAUCAGCUAGUUGGUGAGGUAAUGGCUCACCAAGGCGUCGACGGGUAGCCGGCCUGAGAGGGUGACCGGCCACACUGGGACUGAGACACGGCCCAGACUCCUACGGGAGGCAGCAGUGGGGAAUAUUGCACAAUGGGCGCAAGCCUGAUGCAGCAACGCCGCGUGAGGGACGACGGCCUUCGGGUUGUAAACCUCUUUUAGCAGGGAAGAAGCGAAAGUGACGGUACCUGCAGAAAAAGCACCGGCUAACUACGUGCCAGCAGCCGCGGUAAUACGUAGGGUGCAAGCGUUAUCCGGAAUUAUUGGGCGUAAAGAGCUCGUAGGCGGUUUGUCGCGUCUGCUGUGAAACCCCGAGGCUCAACCUCGGGCCUGCAGUGGGUACGGGCAGACUAGAGUGCGGUAGGGGAGAUUGGAAUUCCUGGUGUAGCGGUGGAAUGCGCAGAUAUCAGGAGGAACACCGAUGGCGAAGGCAGAUCUCUGGGCCGUAACUGACGCUGAGGAGCGAAAGGGUGGGGAGCAAACAGGCUUAGAUACCCUGGUAGUCCACCCCGUAAACGUUGGGAACUAGUUGUGGGGUCCAUUCCACGGAUUCCGUGACGCAGCUAACGCAUUAAGUUCCCCGCCUGGGGAGUACGGCCGCAAGGCUAAAACUCAAAGGAAUUGACGGGGACCCGCACAAGCGGCGGAGCAUGCGGAUUAAUUCGAUGCAACGCGAAGAACCUUACCAAGGCUUGACAUAUACGAGAACGCUGCAGAAAUGUAGAACUCUUUGGACACUCGUAAACAGGUGGUGCAUGGUUGUCGUCAGCUCGUGUCGUGAGAUGUUGGGUUAAGUCCCGCAACGAGCGCAACCCUCGUUCUAUGUUGCCAGCACGUAAUGGUGGGGAACUCAUGGGGAUAC